UACGUAGGGCGCAAGCGUUGUCCGGAAUUAUUGGGCGUAAAGAGCUCGUAGGCGGUCUGUCGCGUCCGUUGUGAAAACUCGAGGCUCAACCUCGGGCUUGCAGUGGAUACGGGCAGACUAGAGUGCGGUAGGGGAGACUGGAAUUCCUGGUGUAGCGGUGGAAUGCGCAAAUAUCAGGAGGAACACCGAUGGCGAAGGCAGGUCUCUGGGCCGCAACUGACGCUGAGGAGCGAAAGCAUGGGGAGCGAACAGG
rnacentral:rRNA from 1 species